rnacentral:rRNA from 1 species
GAUGAACGCUGGCGGCGUGCCUAAUACAUGCAAGUCGAGCGAACAGACGAGGAGCUUGCUCCUCUGACGUUAGCGGCGGACGGGUGAGUAACACGUGGAUAACCUACCUAUAAGACUGGGAUAACUUCGGGAAACCGGAGCUAAUACCGGAUAAUAUAUUGAACCGCAUGGUUCAAUAGUGAAAGACGGUUUUGCUGUCACUUAUAGAUGGAUCCGCGCCGCAUUAGCUAGUUGGUAAGGUAACGGCUUACCAAGGCAACGAUGCGUAGCCGACCUGAGAGGGUGAUCGGCCACACUGGAACUGAGACACGGUCCAGACUCCUACGGGAGGCAGCAGUAGGGAAUCUUCCGCAAUGGGCGAGAGCCUGACGGAGCAACGCCGCGUGAGUGAUGAAGGUCUUCGGAUCGUAAAACUCUGUUAUUAGGGAAGAACAAAUGUGUAAGUAACUAUGCACGUCUUGACGGUACCUAAUCAGAAAGCCACGGCUAACUACG